CAGAGUUGUCUUCGGUGUAAUUCCAAACUUCAGCUCAGCACCAUGAAGUUCUUAUCUCUCCUUGUAUUACUAGGAGUUGCUACCAUGCUGGUUUUUGCUGAUGAGCCUGCUAAUGCGGGCUCCGCUGGAGGUUUUCCUGUGAAGAUACCUGACUUUGAAACACUUAAUGCUCUUUUCUCAAAAUUUACAGAUGAUUUUAUAAAUAUGUUGCCAUGGAUAAAGCCAUAAAUAUGAGAGUGAGAAUGAAAAAGUUUUCAUCUUCAAGAUUUGUUCUGCAGGACUCAACCAGCAAUGCUUUCAUUUGAAAUGAUCCAUCAACCCCCUCAGCCUGACAAUGUAGCUUCUUGCCUCCAGUCAGAUUAAUCAGAUUAUCUUUCAAUUAAAUAAUAAUUCUGUGCA